GCACCCCGUGGCACGUAGAGGCACGAAGUCACCGGACUUCUAAUCCGACGGUCGCAGGUUCGAAUCCUGCCGGGUGCGCCA
rnacentral:tRNA from 1 species